rnacentral:rRNA from 1 species
UACGGAGGGUGCGAUCGUUACCCGGAUUUACUGGGUGUAAAGGGCGUGUAGGCGGUCUCUCAAGUCCGAUGCUAAAGACCGAAGCUCAACUUCGGGGGUGCGUUGGAUACUGUGAGGCUAGACGGUCGGAGAGGGGAGCGGAAUUUCCGGAGUAGCGGUGAAAUGCGCAGAUACCGGAAGGAACGCCAAUAGCGAAAGCAGCUAUCUGGACGAUUUGUGACGCUGACGCGCGAAAGCGUGGGGAGCAAACCGG